rnacentral:rRNA from 1 species
GUACGCUAUUCAGAGUUUGAUCCUGGCUCAGGAUGAACGCUGACAGAAUGCUUAACACAUGCAAAUUGGAUGUAGGUUAGACUAGCUUGCUAGUUAACUGGCAUGGUGGACUGGUGAGUAACGUGUAAAGAACUUGCCCUUUAGACUGGGAUAACAAGGAGAAAUUCUUGAUAAUACUAGAUAUAAUGUUUAUAUGGCAUCAAAUAGACAUGAAAGGAAGAGAUUUGCUAAAGGAGAGCUUUGCAUCCUAUUAGCUAGUUGGUAAGGUAAAGGCCCACCAAGGCUCCGAUGGGUAGGGGUUGAGAGGAAGGUCCCCCACACUGGAACUGAGACACGGUCCAG